UACGGGGGGGGGCAAGCGUUGUUCGGAAUUACUGGGCGUAAAGGGCUCGUAGGCGGCCAACUAAGUCGGACGUGAAAUCCCUCGGCUUAACCGGGGAACUGCGUCCGAUACUGGAUGGCUUGAGUUCGGGAGAGGGAUGCGGAAUUCCAGGUGUAGCGGUGAAAUGCGUAGAUAUCUGGAGGAACACCGGUGGCGAAGGCGGCAUCCUGGACCGACACUGACGCUGAGGAGCGAAAGCCAGGGGAGCAAACAGG
rnacentral:rRNA from 1 species